UGGGGAAUAUUGCACAAUGGGCGCAAGCCUGAUGCAGCAACGCCGCGUGAGGGACGACGGCCUUCGGGUUGUAAACCUCAUUUUAGCAGGGAAGAAGCGCAAGUGACGGGUACCUGCAGAAAAAGCACCGGCUAACUACGUGCCAGCAGCCGCGGUAAUACGUAGGGUGCAAGCGUUGUCCGGAAUUAUUGGGCGUAAAGAGCUCGUAGGCGGUUUGUCGCGAUCUGCUGUGAAAACGCGAGGCUCAACCUCGCGCCUGCAGUGGGUACGGGCAGACUAGAGUGCGGUAGGGGAGAUUGGAAGUUCCUGGUGUAGCGGUGGAAUGCGCAGAUAUCAGGAGGAACACCGAUGGCGAA
rnacentral:rRNA from 1 species